rnacentral:rRNA from 1 species
AUUGAACGCUGGCGGCAGGCCUAACACAUGCAAGUCGAACGGCAGCACAGAAGAGCUUGCUCUUUGGGUGGCGAGUGGCGGACGGGUGAGUAAUGUCUGGGAAACUGCCCGAUGGAGGGGGAUAACUACUGGAAACGGUAGCUAAUACCGCAUAACGUCGCAAGACCAAAGUGGGGGACCUUCGGGCCUCACACCAUCGGAUGUGCCCAGAUGGGAUUAGCUAGUAGGUGGGGUAAUGGCUCACCUAGGCGACGAUCCCUAGCUGGUCUGAGAGGAUGACCAGCCACACUGGAACUGGGACACGGUCCAGCCUCCUACGGGAGGCAGCAGUGGGGAAUAUUGCACAAUGGGCGCAAGCCUGAUGCAGCCAUGCCGCGUGUAUGAAGAAGGCCUUCGGGUUGUAAAGUACUCUCAGCGGGGAGGAAGGCGGUGAGGUUAAUAACCUCGCCGAUUGACGUUACCCGCAGAAGAAGCACCGGCUAACUCCGUGCCAGCCGCCGCCGUAACAC